AUUUCUUCUUCUCAACAACAGCAUCUCCAAAUGAUGCUGAUGUUGCCGCUGUGGCCAGCCGAAUCGAGGAGCUGGUGGCAAGUGUUAAGAGGAGGUCCCAGCGUCUUUAUAAAGACACUGAUGGAUGCAAAGGACGUGCUCGGAUCCGCCGGAAGAUCAGGGAGGAAAAAAAAUCCUAAAUUCUGCAGUGGAAAAAUACAACACCAUGGUCCCUAUUGCAGAAAACCUGACCUUGGACACCAUUCUGUCUGACGACAUUGUUUGGCCAUAGCAGCUUCCACAGGGUGACUCUGUAGAUCUAAGGACAAAGAGAAAGGCGUUUGACCUGGUGAUGGCAGUAAGGAGACUUGAGGAGGAGAAGAGGAUUCUUGUUGCAGAGAUGAACAAGCACUGGAAGUGUCUUUGCACCCGUGCAGACACCCUGAAACUGAUGUCAUCUCAGCUCGCUAAUAUGACAUCAGGUAAGACGUGGGGCCUGCUUCAAGAUGGGAUCCAAGGUCUGCAGAGCUUGAUGUUGAAGAACUUGCAAGCAAGCAACAGCAUGACAAAGCAUGCAAAGAACUGUUCAAGUUCUGACUGAAAAAGAGAUCAACUUUAACAGUGAUUCUCAAGACGAUACCUGUAGUGACUCUGAGCAAGACUAGACAGCAUUGUCAUGGCCAGAGUCCUUGCUGGGGAGGCAGCAUUAUUCCGUGUAAGUUUUAAUCCAUGGUCUAACACACCGUGAAACCAUGAAAGACCCCCUCUCGAGAGAUCAAGUCAGCAGACCGCGUAUUCAACAGAGUUUUAGCAACCUCAGAAAAAGAUCAUGCAUUAAAGAUAUACUGCAAUAUACGCCUGAACACAGCUCUCCACUCUCCUGCAGCAGCUUCCUGUUGACGGGAAGUCCCGACGAGUCGAUUACCGAGUGCAGUUAGAAAUGCUCAAUUCCGUUCUUUUCCCUGUCCGUUCUUAAUAACUGUUAUAAACUAGCAGCUAAGACACAUAUGAACUUUGAUUGCAUUUCCAUGGAGUCAUAAUCAUACAUUUUAAUCCAUGAGCCGCGGAACUCUACUGCACUCAGUAAACAACUCGGAAGCUGCCCCAAGAGAGUGGUUAGCUGUGUUCACUUCACAAUAGAAAUCCAGCUAAGCUAGCGGAGGUUAGAUGCCCCGGACUAUGUGCUGAGACCCUAUUUGUACUGUUGCUGAAGUUUGGUGCUGUUCUGAGCAUUAUUUGUGGCUUUUUGGUGGCGGUUUCUUGUUGGAGUCGUAUACUGCAGUGUAUCAUUAAUAUUGUUAAUGUCUUUCUCUGAAGUUGCUAAGACUGCUAACUUGAUCUCUCGAGAGGGGGUCUUUCAUGGUUUUACGGUGUGUUAGACCAUGGAAUAAACUUACACCGAAAUAUCCCUUUAUGAAGAGGGCCACUGGGACAGGCUGCUAAGGAAUGUUUGCUCAGUGUUUGGCAUGGAGCAUCACAUCAACUGCAGAGAAAAGUCUCUGUCUGUCCCAACCAUCACAUCACUAUUGUCAUCUAUUGUCUAGUAUCCACUUUCCAUGUCAGUCAGUGCGUUUACAUGACACUCAAGAAAACCGAAUUACUGCGUUAGUCUGACUAUGAACGGAUUUUUAAGAUGCAUGUAAACACCUUAGUCUGACUAAAAUCGGACCGGAUCAGAUUUCUCAUAGUCGAAUUACACCACGUAGAUUAUUCGAUUGAUAGUCGCAUUACUCCUGCAUGUAUAAGUUUCCAGCGGAUCGGAUAGGAUUUUGCGUUCUGCGCAGGUGCGAGAUUUUUCCCCGGGGCCGUGAGCCGGAAGUAGACGGGCGGCGGCGUCUUUCCUCCGAAAUCGAGGCA
ensembl:lncRNA